UUUUUUACCCUGUUUAUGUUUAGAUUGGGGAGCAACGACCUGGGGGAUUCUGGAGUAAAAAUGGUGACUGCGGCUCUGAGGAACCCACGCUGUAAGAUACAAAAACUGGCGCUAGGCCGUGUUGGUCUCACAGAUUCUUGCAUCAAAAAUCUUGCUUGUGAUCUCAGUGUGAACUACUCACUGAGAGGACUGGUCCUCGGGGAAAACUCCUUCACAGACCGAUCUAUCCCCAUUCUGCACUCAUUCAUAAGGACCCGCCCGAGUCUGGAGUGGAUCUGGCUGGAGUGGAAUCGGUUCAGUUCAAAUGGCAAAGAGCAAUUGAAGUUUCU